UACGUAGGGCGCAAGCGUUGUCCGGAAUUAUUGGGCGUAAAGAGCUCGUAGGCGGCUUGUCACGUCGGUUGUGAAAGCCCGGGGCUUAACCCCGGGUCUGCAGUCGAUACGGGCAGGCUAGAGCGUGGUAGGGGAGAUCGGAAUUCCUGGUGUAGCGGUGAAAUGCGCAGAUAUCAGGAGGAACACCGGUGGCGAAGGCGGAUCUCUGGGCCAUUACUGACGCUGAGGAGCGAAAGCGUGGGGAGCGAACAGG
rnacentral:rRNA from 1 species